CGCCUGUUUAUCAAAAACAUCGCCUCUUGAACUCCUAUAAGAGGUCCAGCCUGCCCAGUGACUUUGUUCAACGGCCGCGGUAUCCUAACCGUGCGAAGGUAGCGUAAUCACUUGUCUUUUAAAUGGGGACUUGUAUGAAUGGCAUCACGAGGGUUAUACUGUCUCCUUUUUCUAAUCAGUGAAACUAAUCUCCCCGUGAAGAAGCGGGGAUAAUUUUAUAAGACGAGAAGACCCUAUGGAGCUUUAAACUUAAUAACAAAUACUAAUUCCAUUUUAACUUCCAGAACACUUACUUCAACUUUAGUAUUAUGAUUAUUAGUUUUAGGUUGGGGUGACCGCGGAGUAAAAAUUAACCUCCACAUUGAACAGGACCAACCCUUGAGCCAAGAGCUACAACCCUAAGCACCAACAAAUUGACAUUAAUUGACCCAAUAUUUUGAUCAACGAACCAAGUUACCCUAGGGAUAACAGCGCAAUCCACUUCAAGAGCUCCUAUCGACAAGUGGGUUUACGACCUCGAUGUUGGAUCAGGGUACCCCAGUGGUGCAGCCCCUACUAAAGGUUCGUUUGUUCAACGAUUAAAACCCU
rnacentral:rRNA from 1 species